rnacentral:rRNA from 1 species
CACGAACCGUACGAACGUUAUUCGGAAUUACUGGGCUUAAAGGGUUUGUAGGCGGCCUUGUAAGUCAGGUGUGAAAGCCCUCGGCUCAACCGAGGAACAGCGCUUGAUACUGCAAGGCUUGAGGGAGACAGGGGUAAGCGGAACUGAUGGUGGAGCGGUGAAAUGCGUUGAUAUCAUCAGGAACACCGGUGGCGAAAGCGGCUUACUGGGUCUCUUCUGACGCUGAGGAACGAAAGCCAGGGUAGCGAACAGG